GGAGAGGUCGCAUAGUGGCCUAGUGCGGCGGUUUGCUAAACCGCUGAAGGGGGUUUCCUCUUCCGAGGGUUCGAAUCCCUCCCUCUCCGCCA
rnacentral:tRNA from 1 species